rnacentral:rRNA from 1 species
GAGGAACGCUGGCGGCGUGCUUAACACAUGUAAGUCGAGCGGUAAGGCUCCUUCGGGUGUACACGAGCGGCGAACGGGUGAGUAACACGUGAGCAAUCUGCCCUUCUCAUCGGAAUAACCAUUGGAAACGAUGGCUAAUGCCGAAUACGACUUCCUUUCGCAUGUCAGGAAGUGGAAAGCUCCGGCGGAGAAGGAUGAGCUCGCGGCCUAUCAGCUUGUUGGUGAGGUAAUGGCUCACCAAGGCGACGACGGGUAGCCGGCCUGAGAGGGUGACCGGCCACACUGGGACUGAGACACGGCCCAGACUCCUACGGGAGGCAGCAGUGGGGAAUAUUGGACAAUGGGCGAAAGCCUGAUCCAGCAACGCCGCGUGAGGGAUGACGGCCUUCGGGUUGUAAACCUCUUUCAGCAGGGACGAAGCGCAAGUGACGGUACCUGCAGAAGAAGCACCGGCCAACUACGUGCCAGCCGCCGCUGUAA